rnacentral:tRNA from 1 species
GGCGCUGUGUCUUAGUUGGUUAAAGCGCCUGUCUAGUAAACAGGAGACCCUGAAUUCGAAUCUCAGCAGUGCCU